UACGUAGGGCGCAAGCGUUUGUCCGGAAUUAUUGGGCGUAAAGAGCUCGUAGGCGGUUUGUCGCGUCUGCUGUGAAAACCUAAGGCUCAACCUUGGGCUUGCAGUGGGUACGGGCAGACUAGAGUGCGGUAGGGGUGACUGGAAUUCCUGGUGUAGCGGUGGAAUGCGCAGAUAUCAGGAGGAACACCGAUGGCGAAGGCAGGUCACUGGGCCGCAACUGACGCUGGAGGAAGCGGAAAGCAUGGGGAGCGAACAG
rnacentral:rRNA from 1 species